rnacentral:rRNA from 1 species
AGCGAACGCUGGCGGCAUGCUUAACGCAUGCAAGUCGCACGGGCGGGGGCAACUCCGUCAGUGGCGGACGGGUGAGUAACGCGUAGGUAUCUAUCCUUGGGUGGGGGAUAACGGUUGGAAACGACUGCUAAUACCGCAUGACAACUGAGGUUUAAAGGCGCGAGUCGCCUGAGGAGGAGCCUGCGUACGAUUAGCUAGUUGGUGGGGUAAAGGCCUACCAAGGCGACGAUCGUUAGCUGGUCUGAGAGGAUGAUCAGCCACAUUGGGACUGAGACACGGCCCAAACUCCUACGGGAGGCAGCAGUGGGGAAUAUUGGACAAUGGGCGAAAGCCUGAUCCAGCAAUGCCGCGUGUGUGAAGAAGGUCUUCGGAUUGUAAAGCACUUUCGACGGGGACGAUGAUGACGGUACCCGUAGAAGAAGCCCCGGCUAACUUCGUGCCAGCAGCCGCAGUAAU